rnacentral:rRNA from 1 species
AUUGAACGCUGGCGGCAGGCCUAACACAUGCAAGUCGAACGAGUGGCGGACGGGUGAGUAAUGUCUGGGAAACUGCCUGAUGGAGGGGGAACACUAGUGGAAACGGUCUCUAAUACCGCAAACCAUCAUAUGUGCCCAGAGGGGAUGAGCUAGUUGGUGGGGUAACGGCGCACCAAGGCGACGAUCCCUAGCUGGUCGGAGAGGAUGACCAGCCACACGGGAAUGGAGACACGGGCCAGAUUCCUACGGGAGGCAGCAGUGGGGAAUAUUGCACAAGGGGCGCAAGCCGGAUGCAGCCAUGCCGCGUGUAUGAAGAAGGCCUUCGGGUUGUAAAGUACGUUCAGCGGGGAGGCGGUACCCGCAGAAGAAGCACCGGCUAACUCCGUGCCAGCAGCCGCGGUAAUAC